UCAGAGCUAGUCUUUGCCCCUCAGUGUCAGAGUGAGGCAGUGACAGGUACAGCCAACAACCAAAGGCAGUUCAGUCUUUUUAUCACAGUAAAGAAAUUGCUUCCCCAGUUCUGCCAGGGCAUUCCCAGCCAGGCUGUUUUGCUGUUAGAGAUGGGCCCAAGUCAAAUGGAUCUGGAUUUUGAUCCCCUCCUUCAAAAACUUGAGAGGAGAGUGGGGGGUGCUGGGAUCUAGGGUUUUGGUUCAGCCGCAUCUCUAGUUGAUACAGUGAUAACAGAGCAGGGCAGUGGAACCCAUCAGCAAAGCAUCUCAUCUUCCAAUAGUGAUAUUUUGAUACUGUAAAAGGGGAGGCCUGUACAGUGGCCUGGCCGGAAGGCUCAGCCAUGAAGAGGAAGAGGGAGUUCUGGGAAGUGAGGAGGAGCGCGGUGUGAGCAACUGUGGGAAGUGGGGGCAUCAGACCGGAAUAGAGCUAAUCCCCAACAUGGCCACCAGAUGUCCCCGUGAAAAAUCAAGCCUGGUCUUUGGGGACAACAACGCACUUUGGUUUACUGACCACAAACCACAGAACUUGCAAGGACCCAUAUGCUCCAAAUGCCUGACUUGGCUAUUAAAGGGCCAGACCCUGUAACAAGCUGCCAGUGCAUGCUUAAAGCAACCCAUCCUGUUGUUGUUUAGUAGCUUUGAUCCUGCUGGGAGGGGAUUGAGUGGGUUUUGCUCAUGCACUGUUGAACACCCAUAUGGAGGAGGGAUGUGGUCAGGAAAGAGACGCUAUUCUCUGGGAAGAGGGCAGGAAUGGCCUUUACUACCAAGCAGAACGAUACCUUUCAAUAUGGGAUGAGCUGAGGUCAGUAGAUUUGAGCUCCUCCUGCUUUGGGUCACUGUCUUUGUGCUCUCUGGCCCCAAAGGCACAGGUGAACUGUGAAGUGAAAGAGAAAAGAAACUAGUAUCAUCACCUUGUGUAUAAUAAUCAAGGGUGAGAGUCGGGAUUCAUGGCUUCUAUUCUCAGUUUUGCUGCAGUCUCAUUGUGUGACCUUGGGGAAAUCACUCAGCCUCUCUCAGUCCCAGUUUCCCCAUUUGUAAAACAGGGUUAAUGACUUAUUCCUACAUCACAAGCGGGUUGUGAGACUCAAGUAAUUAGCGCCUGUGAAGUGUUUUAAGAUCGUUGGCUGAAGGAUGUUACAGAAGCACAAAGUACUGAUAGUGUUGUUGUACUAAAUAAAUCUACUUUGCUCCUAUCUUUAACAACAAUAAAGCAUUUUGCAUCCCAAGGUGCCUUACAAGUUUAACAUGCCUUCGGGGCAAUGCAAAGCAGUCAGAGCAGUAUCAAGGAUCUGGCCCAGCUAACACCAGGCUUGGCACUGGCUCAAAAGGAAGAGAGCAACAUCUAGUGCACCAUUAACACCACUUUCAGCUGCACAGAGGUAUUAUGUGGAGGUCUACCAUGCAAGUGCUGACCCAAAUGACCUUAUUCGGUUUGUGAGCGGGAGUAAGGUGCUCUGGAUAGUACAGUCCACCCGCACUAUGGCUCAGUAAGGUGGCUGUACCUUACAGAUGACACACUCUUGCAGCUUGAUGGAUCCCCUCUCUUCAGCAUUUUUUCCUUAGUUUUUGGGACUGGAUUGUUGAGUGCCAUGGUGACAGCUGUGGCUUGCUCCGCCUCUUGCUUAGCCCUCCUCAGCCGUUGGUUUCCCUGCAGUUCGAGGAUCACCUCCCGCUGUUCUUGAAGCUGCCUCCUCUGCUCCUCAAUCAGCUGCUGCUGGAAGGCAUGGCGGUGCUCAAAGUGGCCCCUGAAGGCAGGGGCCACUUUUUUGCCAGGUGCCUCAAACCAUUGUAUGGGACUAACUGUUUGAUUACUGGAUUUGGCGUGAUCCUGUGAAUUCACAGCAGUGUGUUGUAGGGUAAUCUGCCAGGCAUACUUGGACUUCUUGCAUGAACGAAGACUACGGGUCUGACCAGCAUCCCGACAACAGGAUUCUACAGGAUUGAUGGGCUCCUCCUGAAGAAGGGGCGUUUCAGUCACCUGCAAGGGAAGAAUUCUGCACUGACUGAAGUCAAGACCUCUGCUGCCCUUGAAGAGCUAGGAGCAUUUUUCUGAAUGGAGCAACAGUGAAAUCAGUCUGAGAGGCAGGGUAACCUCAGGUACCCACUGGUGGGCACUAAAGCAAGCUGCUGCAGCUGAGGUCAGCCUGAAAGCAAGGGGCGCUGAUCUGCUUGAUGCUUCAUGCAGGGGAAACUUAAGCCAUAAGACUGAGAUCUCUAGUCCUAAUCUGGUUCACCCUGAAUAUGAACAUUAGACUAUCACAUGCAAAGAAUUCUUUCAGAAUUAGCCCAACUACAAAGCUCACCAUCUCUACUAUGAAUCUGAUCUCAGAACUGUACUCAUGCUCAAGUUAAUGUCCAAGCUGGGAAAAACCAAAAGCUCUACUGACCCUGGUUGUUCCUACGGAGACUAUCAUCUUGAAAGCCAGCAGGGGUCUCUUCAGCAGGAGUAGAGUCAGCAGCAGCAUCUCCAACAUUCUCUUCUUGGUCACUUUCUAGCUCCAGUCUCAGUUUGGAAUUCAUCCAAUCAUUGAGCAGCUCCUGGGCUACGGCCCUGAUCCUGCAAAUGCAUACAUGUAGCCUCAACAGGACUACAUAUGGGCAUAAAAUUAAAACCAUAUGCAAGUCUGUUUCUAGGAAUGAGACAAUUUUUUUGUUUAUUUGUUUUGUUUUGUUGGCUAAUAACUCAAAUGCCUGACAGUUGGAAGAAAAGCUUUUUUUAAAAAAAAAAAAUACAAAACCCUACUCCUUUAAUUAAGCACUAAGAAAGCACUCACUCCAAGUCUCUCUGGUAUUGCAACUAAGUUAUACAAUAAAAAUGAUGGAGGAUAUAACUUAGCAUUCCAGAUAUUUGUAAGGAAAAAUAUAAGCAACCUUUUAAAAAAAACAAAGACCACCACCACCAAAAAUUUCCUUUUCAGGCUUCUUUAAAGAAGUGGUCUGUAAUGGGAUGUGAUCUGAGUUACUACAGAGAAUUCUUUCCUGGGUGCUGGCUGGUGAGUCUUGCCCACAUGCUCAGGGUUUAACUGAUCGCCAUAUUUGGGGUCAGGAA